GAUGAACGCUAGCUACAGGCUUAACACAUGCAAGUCGAGGGGCAGCACAGUGUAGCAAUACAUGGGUGGCGACCGGCGCACGGGUGCGUAACGCGUAUCCAACCUUCCCGUUACUCAGGGAUAGCCUUCCGAAAGGGAGAUUAAUACCUGAUGGUAUUCAAAUUUCGCAUGUUAUUUGAAUUAAAGAUUUAUCGGUAACGGAUGGGGAUGCGUGACAUUAGAUAGUAGGCGGGGUAACGGCCCACCUAGUCUACGAUGUCUAGGGGUUCUGAGAGGAAGGUCCCCCCACACUGGAACUGAGACACGGUCCAGACUCCUACGGGAGGCAGCAGUGGGGAAUAUUGGGCAAUGGAGGCAACUCUGAACCAGCCAAGUAGCGUGCAGGACGACGGCCCUAUGGGUUGUAAACUGCUUUUAUGCGGGGAUAAAUGAGCCUACGUGUAGGUUUUUGCAGGUACCGCAUGAAUAAGGACCGGCUAAUUCCGUG
rnacentral:rRNA from 1 species